GCUGGUGUGGCGGAAUGGCAGACGCAUCAGACUCAAAAUCUGACGAGUUCACGCUCGUGCGGGUUCAAGUCCCGCCACCAGCA
rnacentral:tRNA from 1 species